GUGCUCACUUCGGCAGCACAUGUACUAAAAUUGGAACGAUACAGAGAAAAUCACAUUGGCCCCUGCACAAGGAUGACAUGCAAAUUCGAGAAGCGUUCCAUAUUUAU
ensembl:snRNA U6 U6 spliceosomal RNA